rnacentral:rRNA from 1 species
GACAGAGGGUGCAAACGUUGUUCGGAAUUACUGGGCGUAAAGCGAGUGUAGGCGGUCUGUAAAGUCAGGUGUGAAAGCCCCGGGCUCAACCCGGGAAGUGCACUUGAAACUCACAGGCUAGAGUAUCGGAGAGGUUGGUGGAAUUCUCGGUGUAGAGGUGAAAUUCGUAGAUAUUCGGAAGAACACCAGUGGCGAAGGCGGCUCACUGGACUGGUAUUGACGCUGAGGUGCGAAAGCGUGGGGAGCAAACAGG